GUGCCAGCCGCCGCGGUAAUACGGAGGGUGCGAGCGUUGUUCGGAAUUAUUGGGCGUAAAGCGCGUGUAGGCGGUUUUCUAAGUCUGAUGUGAAAGCCCCGGGCUCAACCUGGGAAGUGCAUUGGAAACUGGGGAACUUGAAUACGGGAGAGGGCAGUGGAAUUCCUAGUGUAGGAGUGAAAUCCGUAGAUAUUAGGAGGAACACCGGUGGCGAAGGCGGCUGCCUGGACCGAUAUUGACGCUGAGACGCGAAAGCGUGGGGAGCAAACAGGAUUAGAAACCCGGGUAGUCC
rnacentral:rRNA from 1 species